ACUAUUCCUAAAUCCCUAAUGAACUCUCAACUCUCCCUCUCCCUCUCCCUCUCCCUCUCCUUGUCCCCAACCAGACCUCCGCUGGUGUGAAACCAACUCUACCACCCCCCUCUCUCUCUCUCUUUGAACUAGCCAAACAGCCAAAAAAGAUUCACAAAAAAACCGGGAAGAAAGGACCUUCAAACAUUUUCAAAAAAUCUCAACCGAAGUUUAUUUUCUAGAUCUACCAUAUUUAUACUGUUUUACGAAUAUUUAUUUGGUUAUGCGAAGAUUUCUACGCAUUAUACGGGUUUUAAGUAUUAUUUUACGAAGAUUUCUACGGUCAAGGAGUCAAGCAGCUAGGCGCAUUGCUGUUCGGCCACGAUGUUCAAUAGAUAGCAAUGAUUCAGGGAGCUUGAUAUGGAACAUCUAUAUGAUAGCAACUUGGCCUCCUUGACAUGUCUUGUGAAUGGGGUAGGACAUGUCUUUGUUGAGGGUUAAUCUGAAGCUUAGUUUUGUUUAGCACUGUAAUAGACACAUGAGCCUUUGUUCUAGUAAGGUUGAUCGUCACUAAUGUCCCUGCACUAUGCCUUUGGAGGAGUUUCCAGGAAGCUUAAGGUUUGCCAGCCUAUUUAUGGGGAUUGGCAAUUCGGAAGCUGGUAGAAUUUUACUAGAAAUGUGCACUCCCUUCCACAAAGUAACUAUAUAUAUCCAUCUCAGCCACCUCACAAGAAGGUGCGCACAACAGACAAACCAGUCGAUAGGAAAGUCGUAGAUCAAAAAGUUUACAUGAGAGAUUUUUUUCUCAAAUAUUUUGAGGUAUACCUCAUGGAUGACUGCCAAAGAACAGCUGCAGAGGCUUCAUAUCAAAUGGGACUCCGCUACAGUCACUCAAGUACUGAAAACCCAUCCUGCAAUUGAGAGAGAGGCCUGGUUGUUCUUCAGUUGGAUUUCGAAGGGUUUUAAGCAUGACCAGCUUACAUACACGACAAUGCUGGAUAUAUUUGAUGAGGCAAGGAGGAUAAAAUUCAAUGAAGUAUGUCUUCCAGCUUAUGCAGGAGAAAGGAUUAAAGUUGAUGCCAUUGCUUAUACUUUGAUGCUCCAUUGGCUUUCUAAUGGUGGGCUGGUGACUUCCAUGGAGCAGUGAACAUGUGGAAGGAGAUGAAAGUUAAGUGUUGUCAUCCAACUGUUGUUUCUUAUACAGCCUAUAUGAAGGUAUUGUUUGAUAAUAACAGAGCUGAGGACGCGACUGAGAUUUACAAGGAAAUGCUUCGAUCUGGACUGAACCUACUCGCCACACCACACUUACACAAUCUUAAUGAAGCAUCUUCUCUGUUCCGACUGAUUAGCGUGCAACAUUUCUUGGUAAUGUCCAACAACCAAUGUUGGGAUGCACUCUGCUUUUGGAUUAGCUCCAUGGUGGUUAACUUGUUACUCGGUGGUAAUGUUAAACUAUUUUUUUGUUAUCACACCUCUGAAAUUUGUUUCUGUCAAGCUUAAUUGAAUUCUUUAAUUUUUUUGGUGGGGAAUUUAUAUGAUGGUGCCACAGAGGCUUGCGUGCAAAUUAUAGGAUGUAGCAAGGUCUAUCGAUAAUGUGUGCAAGAAUAUUUGGAAAAAUUAAAGCUAGCUAUUGCGGAAGUCUCCGGUGUGAUCCGGCAUCUUCGGUGAGAUGACAUCUCUGGAAGUGUCUCUGGCGUCUUCUCCGGUGUAUCCGAAGUGAGGGAAGAUGGGAAGAGUGAGAGUACAAGAAAGUAAAGUAAAGUAUGGAUUAUGCACUACAAUGUUAAUUUGAGUACCCGAAAGAACAUAUAAUUCUUACAAAAAAACAUGAAUUUUUUUCAACAAUUUUCGAAGAUAACAAACACACAAUUUAAAAUUAAAGAACAUGUAAAUCUCUAAUUAUAAAAGAACAUAUGUCGUGAAGAUUAUAGCAUAUUGUAAAAUAAUAUCUAGUUUAAAAUAAAUGAACAUACUCUUUAAAUUCAAUAUUUGAAGAAAAGUAGCUUGCAAUAACCAUUUUUUUAAAGGAAAAACAAGCUGCAAGAUGUAAAGAAACGGAAUGGUGAAUAGAGAAAUAUAUAAAAAGUAUAUAUUUAUGGCGAUACUAGUAAAAUAUAGGCUGGUAAAUAACAAAAUCCUAAUUAAGGAUUCUUGGGUUUAAUGAUAUGGCUUCUUAUCUCACAUAUGGGAGAUCAAUGUUCAAAUCUUGGUAGAAGCAAAAAUUUCAUAAUUGGGGUGGGGGGCGGGGGUUGGAGAUUGUUUCAUAGAAUAUAUAUAUAUAUAUAUAUAUAUAUAUAUAUAUAUAUAUAUUUUAUCACGGGGUCCCCGAAGGUGCCCUCUCAAAAAAAUAAAAAUAAAACCCUAAUUUAGUCUGCUACAGUGUGCACAGACAUUUAGUAUUUCCUUCACUGUCGAAGCAAUUUUAAAAGUAUGUAUUACCUCACUUUAUGCGCUGGAAUACACCCAAUUCCCAUUAUUUUAGGUUAUUGUGUAAAGAUGGCUCGGAACAGGCUUACAUAGUAUAUGUUACAGUAUCAUGUAUAUUAGGCCAUGGUAAGGCGAAAAGCUUUAUGUGUUUACAAGCCAUACAUGGAAACAACUCUUGACCUUAGGCUGGAAAGUUGGGGCCAAAGAAAAAAGUCAAGAUAUUGGGAUAUGGCAAGGGCACCCCAAGCUCAUUGGGCUUUCAGAGGCAUAACGGGAAAGAGCGGACCAGCUAACCUAACUGCAAAGAAAGCAGUCGCAGCCGGGGAUAUCUUCUUUUUUGCUGGAUGUCGUGUUUGCGCACCAACAGGAGUCGGUCCUUGGCUAUUCAGUUCCAAGCGCGCAAGCGUUCAAGACCUUCUUUCGAUAAGAAAAUUCUAUGCCUUGGUCUUGGCACGAAAGGUCUUAUCGCAUAUGAUGACGUGACAUUGUCAAAUCUGGCUAGUAUGAAAAGAAUUUUGUUAGACUAUAUGAAGUUGGACACUCGACUCCUUGAGGGUGUAGUGCAAAAGGCUCUAGGAAAUGCCUAAGAGUAGAGAUGCUAACAAAUUCAUUAAUAAAACCUCAGAAUUCACAACAAAAACUCAAAUUUUUCGUCAAUGAUCCUAGAUUCUGAAAUUCAGUAACAAAAACUCAAUUCUUAACAAAAAUUUGACACAUAAUUCCAUAAAAUCACAAAUAUAGCAACAAAAAAUAGAAUCAUGAGUCACAACAAAUUCCAUUUGAGUUUGUGGUGGGCGAGUGGCAGACUGUUGGUGCGCGCAAAGAGAUUGUGGUGGUUUGCCAGUGCCGAGUCGAAGAGAGAGAGAAAAUAAGAAAUGAAAUUAGAAAAUGUGAGAUUGAGAAAUUGGAGGUUAGAGGAGAGAGUACAAACCUGGUGGUGCACGCCAUGGACGGUGGACGUUGGGUGGGCAGCUAGGUUUAAGAUUUUUAAGUUAGGCUUUACACCUUCAAAUCUGGGCGCUGGUGCGUGGUGGUGUAGACAUGCAGUACAGUGGAUGUCGUCGGAAAGAUGACGUAUGGUGGAGUCUGGAGAGAGGGUGUGAAGGACAGGUUGGACUUGGGAGUGAAAUGAAUGGUUUAUGGUUGGAACUUUGGACGUGCAGUAUAGUGGAUCUGUGGCCCUUGCCCGACCUAGUUAGUUUUUUUUUAAAACGGAUGUGCGGAUUCGGAUCUUGGGUUAGAUUCGAAAUCGGAUCCGCAACUGAGAACAAGAUUUGGAUUCGAUAGGUCUAAAAUUUUAAGGUCCAUGUCCGGGUCCACGAAUCCGGGCAAGUCUAGGAUCCAUUGCCAUCCUUAUUGAUGAUUGAAAAUUAAGAUUAUGAGCCGAGUUUUUAAAUUUUGCUCUUUAACAACAAAUAAAAUAAAGAUUGUGGGAUGAUUGUCAUGGUGUUGGGGCAUUGGGUUGAUCAAACUCACGGGUCAUCAUUGACUUCUUUUGGGAAGAGAAGUUCACAUUUUUUGCUAUGUACCAAUGCUUUUGUGUCAAGUGUUACUGCUUUGAUGAGAGAAAAUAUUAUUUGUUGCAAAUAUUGUAAAAGUUAUAUCUUGAAAAAUAUGAUUCCAAAAUAAGAUAAUAAUAUAUUAGUGGUUUUAUUUUUUUAGAGCUCUACAAUUAGACAUUUAUUUUGCUAGAUUUUAAAAAUACUUUUUUUUUCUCCAUAUGUAUAUAUUUUAAAAAUCAUUGUUAAGGAAAUAUAUUGAUUAAAUAUUAUGGGAUGAAACUUUAUAGUGAGAGAGAAAGAGGAGAGAGAAGUGGAUUAUUUUUAUUUUAAGAUUACUAUAAAUGGUACUCUAUACAACACCGUGAGUUGUAAAGUCUGAAAGAAAUACAAUGUGCAAACUUUGGUAAGACAAAAUUAAGAAAAUUAAGGCAAAGCAAAUAAGCAUGAUAGGACCCGGCCCAUGGGAAAUACCAUGGAUCAAGUUCUUGAUGUUUAAGGUAUAGCAAGGUACUUAAAUGAGUUCUGUCAAAAAAAAAAAAAAAAAAAAAAAAUACUUAAAUGAGUUAAAUACAAUUUUAAGGACACUCUUGACAAGGAAAACGUAAAAAUUGGCCAACUAAAUACUCCAUUCGUUUUUUUUUUUAUUGUUAAACUUCACCUUGAGCUAGAAUCAAGGAAAUUUUGCAAAACCGUGAAAAAGCUACAACUAAAGAAUGUUUGGUUUUUAAAAAAUGUAAAAGAAUUAUUGUAGGAGAAGGUAGGUGGAUAUUGGUGGAUUAAUAAAAUGGAUAGUGAGGAUAUGAGGUAGGUAA